AGUGAACGCUGGCGGUAGGCCUAACACAUGCAAGUCGAACGGCAGCACAGUAAGAGCUUGCUCUUACGGGUGGCGAGUGGCGAACGGGUGAGGAAUACAUCGGAAUCUACUUUUUCGUGGGGGAUAACGUAGGGAAACUUACGCUAAUACCGCAUACGACCUACGGGUGAAAGCAGGGGAUCUUAGGACCUUGCGCGAUUGAAUGAGCCGAUGUCGGAUUAGCUAGUUGGCGGGGUAAAGGCCCACCAAGGCGACGAUCCGUAGCUGGUCUGAGAGGAUGAUCAGCCACACUGGAACUGAGACACGGUCCAGACUCCUACGGGAGGCAGCAGUGGGGAAUAUUGGACAAUGGGCGCAAGCCUGAUCCAGCCAUACCGCGUGGGUGAAGAAGGCCUGCGGGUUGUAAAGCCCUUUUGUUGGGAAAGAAAAGCAGCAGGUUAAUACCCCGCUGUUCUGACGGUACCCAAAGAAUAAGCACCGGCUAACUUCGUG
rnacentral:rRNA from 1 species